rnacentral:rRNA from 3 species
UAACGGGGCUAAACCAUGCACCGAAGCUGCGGCAGCGACACUGUGUGUUGUUGGGUAGGGGAGCGUUCUGUAAGCCUGUGAAGGUGUGUCGUGAGGCAUGCUGGAGGUAUCAGAAGUGCGAAUGCUGACAUAAGUAACGAUAAAGCGGGUGAAAAGCCCGCUCGCCGGAAGACCAAGGGUUCCUGUCCAACGUUAAUCGGGGCAGGGUGAGUCGACCCCUAAGGCGAGGCCGAAAGGCGUAGUCGAUGGGAAACGGGUUAAUAUUCCCGUACUUGGUGUUACUGCGAAGGGGGGACGGAGAAGGCUAUGUUGGCCGGGCGACGGUUGUCCCGGUUUAAGCGUGUAGGUGUGUGUUCCAGGUAAAUCCGGUUCACUUUAACACUGAGGCGUGACGACGAGGCACUACGGUGCUGAAGCAACAAAUGCCCUGCUUCCAGGAAAAGCCUCUAAGCAUCAGGUAACAUCAAAUCGUACCCCAAACCGACACAGGUGGUCAGGUAGAGAAUACCAAGGCGCUUGAGAGAACUCGGGUGAAGGAACUAGGCAAAAUGGUGCCGUAACUUCGGGAGAAGGCACGCUGACACGUAGGUGAAGUGAUUUACUCAUGGAGCUGAAGUCAGUCGAAGAUACCAGCUGGCUGCAACUGUUUAUUAAAAACACAGCACUGUGCAAACACGAAAGUGGACGUAUACGGUGUGACGCCUGCCCGGUGCCGGAAGGUUAAUUGAUGGGGUCAGCGCAAGCGAAGCUCCUGAUCGAAGCCCCGGUAAACGGCGGCCGUAACUAUAACGGUCCUAAGGUAGCGAAAUUCCUUGUCGGGUAAGUUCCGACCUGCACGAAUGGCGUAAUGAUGGCCAGGCUGUCUCCACCCGAGACUCAGUGAAAUUGAACUCGCUGUGAAGAUGCAGUGUACCCGCGGCAAGACGGAAAGACCCCGUGAACCUUUACUAUAGCUUGACACUGAACAUUGAGCCUUGAUGUGUAGGAUAGGUGGGAGGCUUUGAAGUGUGGACGCCAGUCUGCAUGGAGCCGACCUUGAAAUACCACCCUUUAAUGUUUGAUGUUCUAACGUGGACCCGUUACCCGGGUUGCGGACAGUGUCUGGUGGGUAGUUUGACUGGGGCGGUCUCCUCCUAAAGAGUAACGGAGGAGCACGAAGGUUGGCUAAUCCUGGUCGGACAUCAGGAGGUUAGUGCAAUGGCAUAAGCCAGCUUGACUGCGAGCGUGACGGCGCGAGCAGGUGCGAAAGCAGGUCAUAGUGAUCCGGUGGUUCUGAAUGGAAGGGCCAUCGCUCAACGGAUAAAAGGUACUCCGGGGAUAACAGGCUGAUACCGCCCAAGAGUUCAUAUCGACGGCGGUGUUUGGCACCUCGAUGUCGGCUCAUCACAUCCUGGGGCUGAAGUAGGUCCCAAGGGUAUGGCUGUUCGCCAUUUAAAGUGGUACGCGAGCUGGGUUUAGAACGUCGUGAGACAGUUCGGUCCCUAUCUGCCGUGGGCGCUGGAGAACUGAGGGGGGCUGCUCCUAGUACGAGAGGACCGGAGUGGACGCAUCACUGGUGUUCGGGUUGUCAUGCCAAUGGCACUGCCCGGUAGCUAAAUGCGGAAGAGAUAAGUGCUGAAAGCAUCUAAGCACGAAACUUGCCCCGA